UUUUAUAUUAUAGAUCAAGAAUCCAAAGAAGAACGAGGAAAAGAAAAAGUAAAGGACUAAAGUGUAAGGUUUAGUCACAUUUUGUAUCAAGUACUUAUCUAGUCACUCGGGGAUCGAAGGAAAUGUCGGAGGCCGAUCACACUAUCAAAGAAAUAACUCGGUAUAACUAGACGUUUUGUUUUGGGUAUGGCAUGUAUAGAAACUUAGCUACUUUUGGUAUAAUAUGAAUAAUGAAUGAUGUGUAAA